GAUGAACGCUGGCGGCGUGCCUAAUACAUGCAAGUCGAGCGAACAGACGAGGAGCUUGCUCCUCUGACGUUAGCGGCGGACGGGUGAGUAACACGUGGAUAACCUACCUAUAAGACUGGGAUAACUUCGGGAAACCGGAGCUAAUACCGGAUAAUAUAUUGAACCGCAUGGUUCAAUAGUGAAAGACGGUUUUGCUGUCACUUAUAGAUGGAUCCGCGCCGCAUUAGCUAGUUGGUAAGGUAACGGCUUACCAAGGCGACGAUGCGUAGCCGACCUGAGAGGGUGAGGGGAGACAGUAGAAAGGAGACACGGAUCAGAGAACGGAUGGAGGAAGAAGGAGGGAAGGGUACGCAAGGUGGGAAAGCAGGAAGGAGCAAUGCAGAGGGAGGAACAAAGGUAUGAGUAACUUAAAACGGUGUGACGAGGGAAAAACAAAUGGCCAAGGAAAGAGGCACGCCGGGACGGGAGGGAAGCAGAGAGCGCAGGCCAGGUAAGGG
rnacentral:rRNA from 1 species